rnacentral:rRNA from 1 species
UACAGAGGGUGCUAGCGUUGUUCGGAAUCAUUGGGCGUAAGGGCGUGUAGGCGGUUUGUUAAGUCAUGUGUGAAAUCCCUCGGCUCAACCGGGGAACGACGCAUGAAACUGGCAAGCUAGAGUACCAAAGAGGGGGGUGGAAUUCCCGGUGUAGCGGUGAAAUGCGUAGAUAUCUGGAGGAAUACCGGUGGCGAAGGCGGCAUCCUGGACCGACAUUGACGCUGAUGAGCGAAAGCUAGGGGAGCAAACGGG